rnacentral:misc_RNA from 1 species
CAGUUCAGUCAGUCAGCAGGGUCUC